rnacentral:tRNA from 1 species
GUUGGCGAUGGCGCAGCGCCUGGCCGGCUGGGAACCGGCCGCGAUGGGGCUGACCAAGCGCGCCUUCCACCGCGCGGCCGACC